rnacentral:rRNA from 1 species
GACGUAGGGCGCGAGCGUUGUUCGGAAUACUGGGCGUAAAGCGUGCGCAGGCGGUGAUGUAAGACAGUUGUGAAAUCCCCGGGCUCAACCUGGGAACUGCAUCUGUGACUGCAUCGCUGGAGUGCGGCAGAGGGGGAUGGAAUUCCGCGUGUAAGCAGUGAAAUGCGUAGAUAUGCGGAGGAACACCGAUGGCGAAGGCAAUCCCCUGGGCCUGCACUGACGCU